UGGCGAACGGGUGAGUAACGCGUGAGGAACCUGCCUCAAAGAGGGGGACAACAGUUGGAAACGACUGCUAAUACCGCAUAAGCCCACGGGUCGGCAUCGACCUGAGGGAAAAGGAGCAAUCCGCUUUGAGAUGGCUUCGCGUCCGAUUAGCUAGUUGGUGAGGUAACGGCCCACCAAGGCGACGAUCGGUAGCCGGACUGAGAGGUUGAACGGCCACAUUGGGACUGAGACACGGCCCAG
rnacentral:rRNA from 1 species